rnacentral:rRNA from 1 species
AUUGAACGCUGGCGGCAUGCUUUACACAUGCAAGUCGAACGGUAACAGGGUGCUUGCACCGCUGACGAGUGGCGAACGGGUGAGUAUGCGUCGGAACGUGCCGAGUAGUGGGGGAUAACGCAGCGAAAGUUGUGCUAAUACCGUAUACGUACUGAGGUAGAAAGUGGGGGACCUUCGGGCCUCACGCUAUUCGAGCGGCCGACGUCUGAUUAGCUAGUAGGUGAGGUAAAGGCUCACCUAGGCGACGAUCAGUAGCGGGUCUGAGAGGAUGAUCCGCCACACUGGGACUGAGACACGGCCCAGACUCCUACGGGAGGCAGCAGUGGGGAAUUUUGGACAAUGGGCGAAAGCCUGAUCCAGCCAUGCCGCGUGUCUGGAGAAGGCCUUCGGGUUGUAAAGGACUUUUGUCAGGGAGGAAAUCCCUAGUGCUAAUAACACUGGGGGAUGACAGUACCUGAAGAAUAAGCACCGGCUAACUACGUGCCAGCCGCCGCGGUAA